rnacentral:rRNA from 1 species
AAACUUUGCAAUGUGCGAAAGCACGACAAGGUUAAUCCGAGUGAUUUCUGCUAAAGAAAUCUUUUGUCAGUCCUAGAAACACUGGUGAAUAAGGGGUGGGCAAGUUCUGGUGUCAGCCGCCGCGGUAAAACCAGCACCUCAAGUGGUCAGGAUGAUUAUUGGGCCUAAAGCAUCCGUAGCCUGCUAUGUAAGUUCUCGGUUAAAUCCAUACGCUUAACGUAUGGGCUGCCGGCAAUACUGCAUAGCUAGGGAGUGGGAGAGGUAGACGGUACUCGGUAGGAAGGGGUAAAAUCCUUUGAUCUAUUGAUGACCACCUGUGGCGGAGGCGGUCUACCAGAACACAUCCGACGGUGAGGGAUGAAAGCUGGGGGAGCAAACCGG